CCGCCCAGAGGUAAACGGGUGGAUCCGCAAAGUCGGCCCGUGGAAUUCAGCGCGGCGCGCAGACCUGGGCUAUCGUGGUUCGGGAUCCCUGGGACCCCAUCGCGGUGUCGUUCGGGUCUCCGCUGCGUGCACUUUCCACGGGCAGAGUGCCACAACCGGUUCGGCGGCGGCUAAAAGUUUGGAGGGUUGUAGGUGGGGGCGCUUGCGUCCCUACCAGCCCUACUCUUGCGAGUCGUCGCCGGACCGAGGGAACGCCGCGCGCUUCGAGGCCACCUUCCCCUCCUGGUGAGUUCGACUAGGAGAGACUGGGCAACCGUGUCUCCUGACCGCUCAUCUGUGAUCGGCGUGAGGCUGGCCGGGCGUGCAUUGUCUGUCAAGGUUGGUGGCAAGUAUGUCGGCAUUCCACCCGACCCGUCUUGAAACACGGACCAAGGAGUCUAACAUGCGCGCGAGUCAUUGGGCGGUACGAAACCCAAAGGCGCAGUGAAAGCGAGGGUCGUCUUCGGGCGACCCAGGUGGGAUCCUCCCUCCCAAGAGCGAUCUG
rnacentral:rRNA from 1 species